rnacentral:tRNA from 1 species
UCCUGGUUAGCUCAGUUGAUAGAGCGCUCCAUAGGAUAUGGAAAGGUUCCUGGUUCGUUACCACGACCAGGCG